AUACGGAGGGGGUUAGCGUUGUUCGGAAUUACUGGGCGUAAAGCGCACGUAGGCGGACUGGAAAGUUGGGGGCGAAAUCCCGGGGCUCAACCCCGGAACUGCCUCCAAAACUUCCAAUCUAGAGAUCGAGAGAGGUGAGUGGAAUUCCAAGUGUAGAGGUGAAAUUCGUAGAUAUUUGGAGGAACACCAGUGGCGAAGGCGGCUCACUGGCUCGAUACUGACGCUGAGGUGCGAAAGCGUGGGGAGCAAACAGGAUUAGAUACCCUAGUAGUCC
rnacentral:rRNA from 1 species